rnacentral:lncRNA from 1 species
CUCCUAUUGACUUCUACUGUAGCUGUAUGUGUGCCUGACUCAACAACUCGUCCAGAUGGUACACAGCUAGACUGCGGUUGUCACCCUCUCUGCCAUGUAACUGAGUUCUGGUCAAUGGAAUGUGAGCAGGAGUGUUGAGCAUCAUUUCCAGGAAAUGCAGAUCUUAAUGCGAUGAUCAAUCACUGGAAAUCUUGUAAGUUUUCAUAGUUCUUAAAUCUACCACAUUCUUUUUAUGAACGUAAUUUUAUAUUUUGUUAAAUUACUUGACUGUUUUGUAUAUCACAAAUAAUUUAAAUUAUGCUUUUAACGAAAUGGGCUAUAAGGAACAAAAUUAAAAAUACAUGCCA